ACAGAGGUUAUGUUUGCCUGGGAAUAUAUGCUAGAUGGUAUGAAAUGCAUACAUAAUUCUACUGAGUCUUCUUGGAAAGCAAUAUCGUUACAUGCACAUCAUGUACAGCAUGUCCUGCAAUUACCAGAACCAAACUGGGACAAGAACGAACUGUCUAAUAACAAUUUCACUAAACAUGCAGUAGAAGAGAACAGAAGUACAGUUGAUCAAUGUGUGCAGAAGGCAAGGGAACCCGUGUUGGAAAUCAGUACAUUAUAUAGGUGCCAACAUUUUAAUCUUCAGUAUCUUUGUCUAGGUACAGAAGUCAACAUAAACAUCACUCAUUGCUGUUUCUCCCAUGGUGAAUCAUCUUGUAACAAAGCCUUCUCCAUAGUUCUCAGUGUUCCUCCCCUAUACCUUGCUACUUCCCUACUCAUGUUAGUAUACAAUCCCACUUUGGCUUCUCCAGCAUGUCUCUGAUUUCUCUAGUAGCUGCUUAUUCAAAUUUCUACCUUUCACACUCCCAGUUAAAUUCUAUUUCCCCUUAUAUCAUCCACUCUUCUUACAGUGUUUAUGCCUUCAUACUAUGUCUAAUCAACACUGGGUAUAUAUUAUAUUAAGGACAGCAUUAGUGUCAAAAUAAUGUACAAUGCAUCUCAGUUUCUCUAAUUCAGUAAACCCUUGAAUUAACAGACCUCAAUUUGAUGGAUUUCAGUUUUAAUGGAAACUGUCUGGCAUUGUCAGAUUUCUUCUGGAUGCAAGGAAUUAGUGGAUACUUUUGGUUCUAACUGACUUUGCCCACUGAAACCAAAAAAGUCUGCUAAUGACCAUUGUAGUAGAUUGUAAUCUUAGACUCAACCAUACAUCAUGGCAACAUAAACUUUUGUAUAAACUGUAACAAGUAUGUGGAAAUAAUUAGAAUUUUUUUGCACUUAA